rnacentral:rRNA from 1 species
UACGUAGGGUGCAGGCGCUAAUCGGAAUUACUGGGCGUAAAGCGUGCGCAGGCGGUUUCUUAAGUCAGAUGUGAAAGCCCCGGGCUUAACCUGGGAACUGCGUUUGAAACUGGGAGACUUGAGUGUGGCAGAGGGGGGUGGAAUUCCACGUGUAGCAGUGGAAUGCGCAGAUAUCAGGAGGAACACCGAUAGCGAAGGCAGCUCGCUGGGACGGUACUGACGCUGAGGUGCGAAAGCGUGGGGAGCGAACAGG